AUUGAACGCUGGCGGCAGGCCUAACACAUGCAAGUCGAACGAGUGGCGGACGGGUGAGUAAUGUCUGGGAAACUGCCCGAUGGAGGGGGAUAACUACUGGAAACGGUAGCUAAUACCGCCUACCAUCGGAUGUGCACAGAUGGGAUUAGCUAGUCGGUGGGGUAAAGGCGCACCGAGGCGACGAUCCCUAGCUGGUCUGAGAGGCUGACCAGCCACACGGGAACUGAGACACGGUCCAGACUCCUACGGGAGGCAGCAGUGGGGAAUAUUGCACAAUGGGAGAAAGCCUGAUGCAGCCAUGCCGCGUGUAUGAAGAAGGCCUUCGGGUUGUAAAGUACUUUCAGCGAGGAGGCGUUACUCGCAGAAGAAGCACCGGCUAACUCCGUGCCAGCAGCCGCGGUAAUAC
rnacentral:rRNA from 1 species